AUGGAGCUGGUGCUGACCUGGAUUUUGCUUCUUGCUAUUUUAAAAGGUGUCCUGUGUGAGGUGCAGUUGGUGGAGUUUGAGGGAGGCUUAGUGCAGCCGAGGGAAUCCCUGAGACUCUCCUGUGUGACCUCAGGAUUCACCUUCAGUGGUUAUAACAUGAACCGGAUCCACCAAGCUCCAGGGAAGAGGCCGGAGUGGAUCUCAUGGAUUAGCUAUGGUGGUAGGAACAAAUACUAUGCAGACUCUGUGAAGGGCCGAUUCACCAUCUCCAGGGACAACGGCAAGAAUACGCUGUAUUUGCACUUGAGCAGCCUGAGACUCGAGGACACAGUCGUUUAUUACUGUGAGAGAGACAGUGAGCCCAGUGUGAGCCCAAAAACCUCCGUGCUUGGGCUCUUACGGCCAGCAGGUGUCCAGUGUGAGGUGCAGCUGGUACAGUUCAGGAGGACAGGCUGCAGCCAGGGGUGCAUCCCUGAGACUCACGUGCAGCCCCUGGAUUCACCUUCUGUGACCUCUGGGUGA